rnacentral:tRNA from 1 species
UUAGUUAAAACCAAAAUAGAGGUGUAUUAUUGUUAAUAAUAUAAAUGAAUUGUUUUCUAACUAAA